GCCUGGGCUCAAAGCUGUUUUAUGGGCAGGAGAACCAAGGCAGAGAGAUGACAGGAGGGGCCUAAACCAGGAGCCAGCUUCUGCCAGGAGAGGAGCUGAACUCCAGGAUCCAGUUCUCAGCCAAGGCCCUUCUCCCCCCAUGACUGCUGACUCAGGAAGUCCCCACGCUGCUGGAAGCACUGAGGAAUCACCUAGAAGGAUUGCUCUCUGUCCGCAUCGUUUCUUAC